rnacentral:rRNA from 1 species
AGAGUUUGAUCCUGGCUCAGGAUGAACGCUGGCGGCGUGCCUAACACAUGCAAGUCGAACGAAGUUACUUGCUUAGAUCUCUUCGGAGUGACGAGCUUUUAACUUAGUGGCGGACGGGUGAGUAACACGUGAGCAACCUGCCUUUCAGAGGGGGAUAACGGCUGGAAACGGUCGCUAAUACCGCAUGAUAUAUUGAAUCGGCAUCGGUUUGAUAUCAAAGGAGCAAUCCGCUGAAAGAUGGGCUCGCGUCUGAUUAGAUAGUUGGUGGGGUAACGGCCUACCAAGUCGACGAUCAGUAGCCGGACUGAGAGGUUGAACGGCCACAUUGGGACUGAGAUACGGCCCAGACUCCUACGGGAGGCAGCAGUGGGGAAUAUUGCACAAUGGGGGAAACCCUGAUGCAGCAACGCCGCGUGAAGGAAGACGGUUUUCGGAUUGUAAACUUCUUUUCUUAGUGAAGAAGAAAGUGACGGUAGCUAAGGAAUAAGCAUCGGCUAACUACGUG